GGUGUGAAUGUGAGUGCACAAAUACACGAUACGUGUCCCGGAAUUUCGUAACCUUCGAACAGAAAUCAAUGGUACUUCAAGCGUCUGAUGUCAAGUAACUAUCAAGGCUGCCAUAUAUCUUGAUUGAAUGCAGAUUAACGCCAAGUCAAACGAACGGAUCUCGACCACAAAGGAUAGAUCGAUGUGCUUCACGCUGUAAUUUAGCGACAACUACCUACCGACUACUGAAAUUGUUCAUGAGAACGUGACUCCAUCUCUGUUAUGACACUUGACAUUAAUGAAACAAAACAUAAAUGAAGAAAAUUAAGAAUUAAUCCAGGAGAAGAAGAGACCAGCGAAAACAAUUAAAACGGUAAGAAAGAAUUAAUUAUUUCCCAUCUUUACUUUUCUUCUCGUUUAAAAAUUCAAUUCAAUGUUGAAUAAUAUUCUCAUAGAUGCGAAGCGAUUCUAUUUAAUAGAAGCAGGGGAGCGAGAGCCAUCAAUCUCGAAUAUUCCACGAUCACGUAUCCCUGAUAUCCCGAUCGAGACAAAUGAAGGGUAAAGAUCGCUAGUAAACUAAGGAAUUAGGGGCGUGCACCGCACAAUGUUAGUAGAACGCAAUCUCGUUACGCGUUACACCAUCGAAUCCACCAUCGAAUUUAACGUAUCAACAUUAGUGUAGAUCAUUGAAUAAACCGUGGUGUUUCGAUAAUUAUCGUGUGCUCAUCGUGUGAUCGUCGUGAUUAAACGACAUCGAUAAAUUUCCUCGAUUCGAAGCAAAUCGUGACCGAACAAUCUUUAUUAUUCGUCAUAUUAUUUCGUACACCAUUUUGUUGUUGCCUCGUCCAACGAAAUUUUAUUUGACUUGAGAACAUAGGAUAAAGACCGAUAUCAACUGCGAAAUUCGAUUUUCAAUUUUCCCUAAUUUUCACACUCUGCGCUUCUACAAACGGCGAGCAAAGCUGCCAAUCAAUCUUCAAUUUCAUCGAUCAUCAGCCGAGCGUGAUCGAGGAUCGUUGGAAAAUUGUCGACUGAUAAUCGUGUGAAAAUUCGCAGGAAAAUUGAAUAAAGGUGGCUAGCCGAACGAAGGGGGAUAAGACGCUUAACGAUCCAUUAACUGGUUCUGAAUGCAAUUCGUGUUAAUCGGACAGGGAAACCGGUGAUAACUGCGAUCCAGAUGGUGGUGUUUGACGCGUAAAUGGUUGGAUUAAUUAAUGUAGAAUUGAUAUAUUAUAUAGGAGGUUGAAUCAAAAUGUAAUCUUUUUUUGAUUCGUCUGUGGAUUUAAAAGCCGAAUGGAUUUAUUAAAAUGAGAUCGAUUAUUG